rnacentral:rRNA from 1 species
CUACGGGCGGCACCAGUCGGGGAUAUUGCACAAUGGAGGAAACUCUGAUGCAGCGACGCCGCGUGAACGAAGAAGGCCUUCGGGUCGUAAAGUUCUGAUGUGAGAGAAGAAGAUAGUGACGGUAUCUCACCAGCAAGCACCGGCUAACUACGUGCCAGCAGCCGCGGUAAUACGUAGGGUGCAAGCGUUGUCCGGAAUUACUGGGCGUAAAGGGAGCGUAGGUGGUUAUAUAAGUCUUUAGUAAAAGGCAUUGGCUCAACCAAUGUAGGCUAGAGAAACUAUAUAACUUGAGUACAGUAGAGGUAAGUGGAAUUCCUAGUGUAGCGGUGAAAUGCGUAGAUAUUAGGAGGAACACCAGUGGCGAAGGCGACUUACUGGGCUGUAACUGACACUGAGGCUCGAAAGCGUGGGGAGCAAACAGGAUUAGAUACCCGAGUAGUC